AAGGUGGUAGUUUAUUAUAAAACGCUAAGUUGCAAACUUGGAGAAGGCUAGUCCUCACUUUU
rnacentral:tRNA from 1 species